CCCUUAGAUGUUCUGGGCCGCACGCGCGCUACACUGAUGCAUUCAACGAGUCUAAAACCUGCUCUGAUAGGGGUGGGUAAUCUUUUGAAUGUGCAUCGUGAUUGGGAUAGAUGAUUGCAAUUUUUCAUCUUCAACGAGGAAUGCCUAGUAAACACAAGUCAUCAGCUUGCAUUGAUUACGUCCCUGCCCUUUGUACACACCGCCCGUCGCUCCUACCGAUUGAAUGAUCCGAUGAAUAUCAUGGAUUGAGGAUUAUAGCAGGUUCGCCUGUCUUGAUCUUCGAGAAGUGAAGUAAAUCUUAUCAUUUAGAGGAAGGAGAGGUCGUAACA
rnacentral:rRNA from 1 species